rnacentral:lncRNA from 1 species
UGUUAAAAAUGAUGUCUUCACACUGUUAGAAAUCUGGCAAAUCGCAUUAGUCCACUUUUCGAGCUGUUUUCAAAUCCCGCUCCAGGUAUGUAUACAUACAUAUACAAUAUACGUGCCGAAUGAGGAAACCCAAGGUACAAUAACGUCCAAGAAGAAGAUGAAGAUUCCGAUACCUACAUAGGAUCUAGCAUACGUUUUAUUGACCCCUGGUCGUAGCUUAGAAAUAAUUUUGUAACGGUCUAAUAUCCACGAUGCAUGUCGUCGAUGUAAAAAUUCCUUCCUCUACGGGUUUGAGGUGAACGAAGAACUGGAUUUAAAAAAAGAAGAAACAAGCCGAGUCUCUGCACAAACACAAAUACGCGUCGGGUCCCUGAAUCCGUGUACCUGUCGUGUCAACCCUCAGUGAACACUAGAGAAAGGAUUCUAGCCGGCAGAAACGGGCUUUUGUCUCUUUGAUCAUACCCUCCUGUGCCUGGAUCGAUUCAUUGUUAACAAUCAAUAACAACUUUGCGCCAACCCAUACCUUCGACAUUCUCCCGCUGGGCACGUAUUGCGACAGACAGAACCGACACAACUUGAUCAGGUCCAUGCCCAUCCUCUUCCUGUUACCUCUCUGUCGUUUUAUCAACUCUCAGUUUAAGCCGCGGUUAGAGCCCUCCGAACCUGUUACAUUUUUAAACUCGAACGGCUGCUCGAUUUUCAACGCGUAUAAAACACAAACAAUUAAUCUCAAACAAUUGCUCGUAUAAAGAAGAUGACAAGUACAACUGCACUACGUGUAAAGUGGUCAAGAAAUUUGUUCAAAAUCGUGUAGCAACGACUUUAAUACGAACACAUACGUAUGCCUGUCUGCAUACGGCAUGUGAAAUUGAGUAAUCGCGGUUGCAUUUGAUUUGAACCGGUAUAAUACAGUGGCUGUGAAGAUUUUCUCCUCGUUAAACCUGCCAGGACUCGAAAUAUCACGCUGUAUAUUUCACUUUUCGUAAUCCUCUUAUUACAGGAGAUUACGGUUAUUACGACGAGUCGAACCAGUUGACAAACUUAGGAAGUGUCGUUCGUCGGAUUAUUAUGCCAGGUAGUGUACGGAUGCAAGUGUGCCUGCACUGGAAGCCACUCCCCGUAAAUUGACAACAGCGGGUCCACCUUCUGUCCGCUUUUAUUCUACCGCACGGGGGAUUUUCAUAUUUCGAACAAUCGAGUACAACGAAGGGAAAAAGAAAACGACGGAAAAAAGAUACAUACUCUAGACGAAUAAAUGUGGGGCCCAUUACACAAUUUGUUGACAAAAAUCAUCACGUUGUAUCGACCGAAAACGACCUUCGUUGGAACCCUGCAAGGAACCCUGCUGAGUUUGCGCGUCAAAAAUGACAAGUGUACAAAAUUGAAACAACGCUAGCAAAGAAUCAAAAUUCGUGGAAUCGAUAUUUUUAAAAAACAAUUUAACGAAUUAAAAGACAUUAAACUUCCUCGUUACUGCCAGAGGAUAUCUCGGUGCAGGAUAAUUAUUGUCGGUAUAACAAGCGCGUAGGGACAUGUGGGAUUUACCUCUAUUGCAAUAGUAAACACGACAGGAAUUGAAUGCCGAAGUAAUCGAAUGAAUCAUUGGAAUUCGUUGCUUAUUUUAUGUAAUACAACGCAGGUGCAUGAGAUGAUUAUAUCCUGUACGUGAAUGGUGUGAAAAUCUGAUAUAAAACGUAAUUUUAUGAUAGAGGACGUCAGAAAAAAAAAUCACACUACCUGCAGACUUUGAAAAUCCGCGAUGAUAGUUUCAGUGAUUUGAACAGACAAAUAAAAGUCUUUAAUAAUGAAUAUAUAUAUUUUUUAUCUAUUAUAUUAAGACUUAUAAUUGAUAUAUACUCUUGUAAGAUAUUUUAAUUACAAUUAUACUACUUUUACAGCGAUAAUUGAACGUACGCAAAUAAUAUACAGUAACAUCAAAGAUAAUUCACUUUCCGAGUACGGGGCACGUUCUUAUCUGACUAUAACUCCAUUCUCGAAUAACAACUGAUAUCAAUAUGAUACAGACUGUCUGUAUUCCAAAGUCUGGAAAACUUUAACUUCAAUAUCUAUACAAAGAGAAUGAGCAGAAAACUUUUGCUAUUAUAAUGUCUGAUAAUCUUUCCUCGCGAUAUUUACACAAGAAUGUCGAAUAUUCUUUAAGCAAACACAAUGAUGAUUUAUUUGCGAUAAUUCUUUUAUCACUGUAUCGUUUCCUAUCUUACGUAUGUAUACCUAUGUAUAAAAUAACACUAUCUAUAAAUUUUACGUUUGUCUCUUCAAUCUUUAAUCACAUUGAAUAUUCAGUUCAGAUUGGGAGUUAUUUUCAAACAUAAGUUUCGAUUUCAAUUAACACCAUGAGCGAUACCCGCAUAUAACAUGCUAGGUACACAUGAAUAACAAUCAAAGCACGACUCAACAAACUGAUUUUGGUGUCAAAUAUCUCGAUAUUGAAUUCUACUCUACUUGACCCCAUUUGUGUUCGACCCCUCGCAUUUUAUUGAUACAUUAUUUGUAUCCAUGUUUUCCGAUAACAUGUAAUAAAAUUUAUAUCGUAUGAGGCGGAGAAAAAAAACGAUUAAUGAAUUUUAAUAAAAUUCUAAUUCGAACUUGAAUUUAGUAUAUUAACACGGUGAUAAUAGGGUAUAUGAUUCAUUAGUGAGUGAAAAUAAAAUAUCGUUUACGUACAUACUAAUAAAUAUGAAAAGGGCGUUAAGAAUGAAUUUUUCUUUUUAUGUGUACAGAAUUAAACAAUGAUAUGGUACAUACAGAUUCUAAGUUCCUAAGUAUCUUUGAAUAUUUGAAUUACAGCAGGUUAACAUAUAUUAUAUUUAUAUAUUAAUAUUCCUAAAACAAUUUUAUUUUUACAGCCCAUGUAAUGUCCACAAGGUAAAAAAAAUAUGCUAAUUAAAUAGAUACAUCAUGUGCUUUGGUUUACGCAUACGAAAAUAGAGCUUGAUUACACAAAUCUUAAACACGGAAGAAAGUAUUCAACUAGAACCCAUAUACCCUAUGACACGUGAAAUACGA